rnacentral:rRNA from 1 species
CCUACGGGAGGCAGCAGUGGGGAAUUUUGGACAAUGGGCGCAAGCCUGAUCCAGCUAUUCCGCGUGUGGGAAGACGGCCUUCGGGUUGUAAACCACUUUUGUAGAGAACGAAAAGUCUAUUGAUAAUACAGAUAGAUGAUGACGGUACUCUAAGAAUAAGCACCGGCUAACUACGUGCCAGCAGCCGCGGUAAUACGUAGGGUGCGAGCGGUAAUCGGAAUUACUGGGCGUAAAGGGUGUGCAGGCGGUUUUGCAAAAUGGAUGUGAAAGCCCCGGGCUUAACCUGGGAAAGCCAUACAUGACUGCAAGACUAGAGUGCGUCAGAGGGGGGUGGAAUUCCAAGUGUAGCAGUGAAAUGCGUAGAUAUUUGGAAGAACACCGAUGGCGAAGGCAGCCCCCUGGGACGCAACUGACGCUCAUACACGAAAGCGUGGGGAGCAAACAGGAUUAGAUACCCUUGUAGUC